rnacentral:rRNA from 1 species
UGAGGAAUAUUGGUCAAUGGGCGAGAGCCUGAACCAGCCAAGUCGCGUGAAGGGAGAAGAAUCUAUGGUUCGUAAACUUCUUUUUUAUGGGAAUAAAGUCAUGGACGUGUCCAUGUUUGUAUGUACCAUAAGAAUAAGCAUCGGCUAACUCCGUGCCAGCAGCCGCGGUAAUACGGAGGAUGCGAGCGUUAUUCGGAUUUAUUGGGUUUAAAGGUGCGCAGGCGGGCGUCUAAGUCAGCGGUGAAAGUUCCCGGCUCAACCGGGUCAGUGCCGAUGAUACUGGGGGUCUUGAAUGCGGUCGAGGCCGGCGGAAUGUGGCGUGUAGCGGUGAAAUGCAUAGAUAUGCCACAGAA